rnacentral:rRNA from 1 species
AAGCAGGGGAUCGUAAGACCUUGCGCUUUUGGAGCGGCCGAUGCCUGAUUAGCUAGUUGGUGGGGUAAGGGCCUACCAAGGCAACGAUCAGUAGUUGGUCUGAGAGGACGACCAGCCACACUGGGACUGAGACACGGCCCAGACUCCUACGGGAGGCAGCAGUGGGGAAUUUUGGACAAUGGGCGAAAGCCUGAUCCAGCAAUGCCGCGUGAGUGAAGAAGGCCUUCGGGUUGUAAAGCUCUUUCAGUCGAGAAGAAAAGAUUGUGAUGAAUAAUCACAAUUCAUGACGGUAUCGACAGAAGAAGCACCGGCUAACUACGUGCCAGCAGCCGCGGUAAUACGUAGGGUGCAAGCGUUAAUCGGAAUUACUGGGCGUAAAGGGUGCGCAGGCGGCUUUGUAAGUCAGAUGUGAAAUCCCCGGGCUUAACCUGGGAAUUGCGUUUGAAACUACAAAGCUAGAGU